rnacentral:rRNA from 1 species
CCGUUGCCGGCGACCGGCGCACGGGUGAGUAACACGUAUGCAACCUGCCCGUGGCAGGGGGAUAAGCGGGGGAAACCCCGUCUAAUACCGCGUAACGCGGCCUAGGGACAUCCCAAGGCCGCCAAGGGGAGCAAUCCCGGCCACGGAUGGGCAUGCGGCGCAUUAGCUAGUCGGCGGGGUAACGGCCCACCGAGGCGACGAUGCGUAGGGGUUCUGAGAGGAAGGCCCCCCACACUGGUACUGAGACACGGACCAGACUCCUACGGGAGGCAGCAG